rnacentral:rRNA from 1 species
GUGUCAGCCGCCGCGGUAAUACGGAGGGUGCAAGCGUUAUCCGGAUUCAUUGGGUUUAAAGGGUGCGCAGGCGGAUACUUAAGUCAGUGGUGAAAUCCCGGGGCUCAACCCCGGAACUGCCAUUGAUACUGAAUAUCUGGAAUACGGUUGAAGUGGGCGGAAUNGUAGCAUGUAGCGGUGAAAUGCAUAGAGAUGCUACAGAACACCGAUCGCGAAGGCAGCUCACUAAGCCGAUAUUGACGCUCAGGCACGAAAGCGUGGGGAGCGAACAGGAUUAGAUACCCUGGUAGUCCACGCCGUAAACGAUGAUAACUCGUUGUUGGCGACACACAGUCAGCGACUAAGCGAAAGCGAUAAGUUAUCCACCUGGGGAGUACGAUCGCAAGGUUGAAACUUAAAUGAAUUGACGG